rnacentral:tRNA from 1 species
GGGCCAGUGGCGCAAUGUAUAACGCGCCUAACUACGGAUCAGGAGAUUCUAGGUUAGAAUCCUUGACUGGCUCG